CUUUACUAUAGCGUGUCAUUGCAAUUUUAUUUUUAUUGUUUAGCCUAGGUGGGAGCCUUUGAAGUACCGGCGCCAGCUGGUAUGGAGGCGACAGGUGAAAUACCACCCUGUAAAGAUGAAAUUGCUAUCCAAAGUUUAACCUGCUUUGGGACAGUGGCUCGUGGGUAGUUUAACUGGGGCGGUUGCCUCCUAAAUGGUAACGGAGGCGUUUAUUAAGGUAUGCUAGUCGCGGAUGGAAAUCGCGAUGAUAGUGCAAACGCAUAAGCAUGCUUGACUGCAAGGGCGGCGACCCGCGCAGGUACGAAAGUAGAAGUUAGUGAUCCGAUGCGUUCGAGUGGAAGACGCAAAGCCCAACGGAUAAAAGUUA
rnacentral:rRNA from 1 species